AAUGGACGAAAGUCUGACGGAGCAACGCCGCGUGAGUGAAGAAGGUUUUCGGAUCGUAAAACUCUGUUGUCAGAGAAGAACAAGUUGGAGAGUAACUGCUCCAGCCUUGACGGUAUCUGACCAGAAAGCCACGGCUAACUACGUGCCAGCAGCCGCGGUAAUACGUAGGUGGCAAGCGUUGUCCGGAUUUAUUGGGCGUAAAGCGAGCGCAGGCGGUUCCUUAAGUCUGAUGUGAAAGCCCACGGCUCAACCGUGGAAGGUCAUUGGAAACUGGGGAACUUGAGUGCAGAAGAGGAGAGUGGAAUUCCAUGUGUAGCGGUGAAAUGCGUAGAUAUAUGGAGGAACACCAGUGGCGAAGGCGACUCUCUGGUCUGUAACUGACGCUGAGGCUCGAAAGCGUGGGGAGCAAA
rnacentral:rRNA from 1 species